rnacentral:rRNA from 1 species
UACGGAGGGUGCAAGCGUUACUCGGAAUCACUGGGCGUAAAGCGCGCGCAGGCGGUCUUUUAAGUUGGAUGUGAAAGCCUACGGCUCAACCGUAGAACUGCAUCCAAAACUAUUAGACUAGAGUGUGGGAGAGGAAGAUGGAAUUAGUUGUGUAGGGGUAAAAUCCGUAGAGAUAACUAGGAAUACCAAAAGCGAAGGCAAUCUUCUGGAACACUACUGACGCUGAGGCGCGAAAGCGUGGGGAGCAAACAGGAUUAGAUACCCUGGUAGUCCACGCAGUAAACGAUGAAUGUUAGUCGUCGGGGGCCUAGUGUCUUCGGUGAUGCAGCUAACGCAUUAAACAUUCCGCCUGGGGAGUACGGUCGCAAGAUUAAAACUCAAAGGAAUAGACGGGGACCCGCACAAGUGGUGGAGCAUGUGGUUUAAUUCGAAGAUACGCGAAGAACCGUACCUAGCCUUGACAUAUAUUAGAAUCACCCAGAGAUGGGAGAGUGCCUUCGGGAGCUUUUAUACAGGUGCUGCACGGCUGUCGUCAGCUCGUGUCGUGAGAUGUUGGGUUAAGUCCCGCAACGAGCGCAACCCUCGUCACUAGUUACUAACGGUUCGGCCGAGGACUCUAGUGAGACUGCCUUCGCAAGGAGGAGGAAGGUGAGGACGACGUCAAGUCAUCAUGGCCCUUACGGCUAGGGCAACACACGUGCUACAAUGGCCAGGACAGUGAGACGCGAUACCGCGAGGUGGAGCAAAUCUAUAAACCUGGUCUCAGUUCGGAUUGUAGUCUGCAACUCGACUACAUGAAGCUGGAAUCACUAGUAAUCGUAGAUCAGCUAUGCUACGGUGAAUACGUUCCCGGGUC